ACGAUCCUCAUCUAUUUUUGAUGAGGUUAUUUUCUUUCUUUUGUGAAAUGUAAUCUCCAGGAAGGAAUGUUCUGAAAAUGCCUACUCAGUGCUGAAUGCACCAACUGGAAAUGAAAGAAGAUGGGUCCACCAGUGUCCGCUUUUCAAUUUAAGAAGUGAAAUAAAUGAAUGUCGCAAAGCUCAUUGCUGCCAGAAGAAAUUGUCAUCUUCCAAUGUGGGUUUUAUUAGCACUCUUUUCUGUCCUGCUGGGAAGAUUCUGUUCUGCUUGUUGGUCAAUGAACUCAAAUACCUAUCUGUCUCCCUUUGUUCAGGUCUGGUUUUCAGUUAAAAAAAAAAAGAAGAAAGCAGCAUCACACUUGGAAGUGAAGAGAUCCCCUGUUGUGUGUUGACCUCAUGAAUUAGUUUUCCCUGUGCUGUGAUGAUGCUGGUUUCUAGGGAAAACACAAUUUGAGUCUGGCACUGGAAAACCCUCUUUCUUUCCCAUCCUCUGCAUAUUGCUGUAGUAUUUGUGUGUCCAAUGCUGGAGACGCCAGUGUUGGCUACACCUCCAUGGAAGCACUCAGCCUUCUCUGCAUCCACUUAAUGUUCUUCCCCAAGCAAUCAGAAUUAUUUGAACAGUUGCCAUCCACUGGCAUUGCUCCAUCUCCUGAAGACCUGUUGCUGAUUCAGCUGAUGCUGGAAGCAUCUCUGUUCUUCCAAGUUCUCAUGGAAAAUAUGACAAGAAGAAAAGCCUGUACAGUUUCAGUACAGAUGCAUCCAAAACAGGCACAACUACAUAAAAAUCACCAACAAUAUGUAUGAACCUCCAUUUGUUGAGCUUGUGAAAUCUGCCACCAUGAGAGCUACCUGUUCUGGGGUAACACAUUCUACAGAUCCUGUUCCCCUACAGGUGAGGAAGCCUAGCAUUUCCAGACAUUAUCUUUCUCCCCAAUUUGUCCACCCAGAUCACAAGGCAAAAGCGAAAAUCUGUGGAGAUUUACAGAAGGUCCUGGCCAACGUUUGAUGAGAGCAGCAUAUCCGUAUGUUGAAUACAAAUCCCAAGGACAAGACUCGAGAGGCUCCUCUGCAAGAGCACCCUGUAGCGGCUGCCUCCGCAAUUCUCCCCAUCCCUGAUGAUACACAUCAGAGUAGGUGUGGUGCUGUCUGCAGAACUGAUUCACAAAGUAUACAAAAAUUGGUAAAUUUGAAUAAAAUACAACCACCUUAGCUCUCUGAGAGCA
rnacentral:lncRNA from 1 species